rnacentral:rRNA from 1 species
GGUAAGUCCUCGCAAGAAGACGCGGUAGUACGGACGGUGAAUACGUUACUCGGAGUCACUGGGCGUAAAGGGCGGGUAGGCGGAGCGGUAAGUCCGGAUUUGGAGACCGAGGCUCAACCUCGCGAAUGUGCUGGGUACUGCGGGUCUGGACCUCUGGAGAGAGAACUGGAAGUCCUGGUGUAGCGGUGGAAUGCGUAGAUACCAGGAGGAACACCAACGACGAAGGCAGGUUCUUGGACAGAAGGUGACGCUGAGGCGCGAAAGUGUGGGGAGCGAACCGGAUUAGAUACCCCUGUAGUC